rnacentral:tRNA from 1 species
GUAAAUAUAGUUUAAACAAAACACUAGAUUGUGAAUCUAGAUAUAGAGACUAACAGCUCUUAUUUACC